CAGAUACCAACCCCCCAAGUCUGUGUGAGGCUAUCAAAGACUUCCGUAGGGUUGUGUCUGGCUAACCUACCAUCGGAAAGAUUUGGUGGCAGAGGAGAGCGCCAGAGAGUUCCAAGGCAACCAUCCUGCAUCUGUAAACACAGACAAGCCUACAGCUGCCGGCACACAACUAAAGUACCCUCCUGCCCAACACAGGAGAUUACCGCUCCUUGUAACCAGUCAAGCCUCUCCUUAAAGAGGGCUUUAGUGCCCAAUUAUGUCUCCAUAGAAACCUGAGAAGCAUGAGCAAGUUCAUCAGCAUAUCUCCCACCUCCCCUCCCCUCCCCGCGCGGUGCUGAGCAGACCUGUGCAGGACCAACCUGUGUGGAAAAUGACAGUGUUUUUCCUGAGCCCCGAAGGAAGCCGGAGGUUUCGAAGCAGUCCUUUGGCGGUUAGGCGGACGUGGAUGGUGGAUAAGGAGAAUUUGGGAGACAACAGCAUGUCUUCGAAGCCAGUGGGAGAACUUCGCAGGGGAAGCAGCUUUUCCAGGGACCAUCACAUACUGUGUCUCUUGGCAACUCGGGGUUCUUCCAGGCCAAGAGAUACAGCCAGAGAAAAACAAGCUUACAUGCUAAUGCCAGGCCACCCAGAUUGGGGGGUGCGUGGGGGGGGGUAGCUAGAGUUAGCUAUCCCAGAGCUCCAGGCUUCCGUUUGCUCUCCCAGAUGUUGCAAACAAACAAUGCCCUUCGUCUGAGCAAGAUCUGUGAGGAGCAGCUCAGGAAGCAAGCAGCCUGAAUUACAUCACACUGCAUGCCGCGGGUUGUUGUGGUUCCCGACACGGAUGGAAAGGGGAGGAGAAAGUGGGUGGUCUCGGGAGCUUUAUGUAACAGCCAAUGAUGUCGCAGGUCCUGUCACUAUUUGGAACGGGGGGGGGGGGGGGGAUGAAAUAAACCACCUCACAUGCC
ensembl:antisense Gm16192 predicted gene 16192